GAGGGUGUAGCUCAGUGGCAGAGUGCGUGCUUAGCAUGCACAAAGGUCCUGGGUUCAAUCCCAGUACCUCCA
rnacentral:tRNA from 1 species